rnacentral:rRNA from 1 species
UGGCGAACGGGUGAGUGACACGUGAGUAACCUGCCCUUGACUUUGGGAUAACUUCAGGAAACUGGGGCUAAUACCGGAUAGGAGCUCCUGCUGCAUGGUGGGGGUUGGAAAGUUUCGGCGGUUGGGGAUGGACUCGCGGCUUAUCAGCUUGUUGGUGGGGUAGUGGCUUACCAAGGCUUUGACGGGUAGCCGGCCUGAGAGGGUGACCGGCCACAUUGGGACUGAGAUACGGCCCAG